GGGCAGGCCACAGUCUGGGAGGGGCGCUGUAUCCUCGCCUCCCAGCAGGGUGAAUGCAGAGCUGCAUCACUUCAAACCAGGUUUUCUUGGAUUUUUCUCUGCCUCAUUCUCACCAACAUGGAAGCUCUCCAGAAGCUGCUUCUGAGGAGGUCUGCCUAGCUGAUUAAAACCUUGAUCAUCUGUCCUCAAGGGCACCUUGACCAUCAAAUCUGAAGAAAGCUGUAAACAAUCAGAAGCACCCUGCCUGGCCAUGCCAAUGAGCAGCUUAUUAAAAUGUCCUUACGUUGAGGCCUAUUUUUUUCAAGGCUACAUUGUUAGGAAAAUAAUUGGAUUUAGACAAUGAAGGAGACAUCUUACACAAAGAGAGAUGGCAGCUGUCCAUAAUU
rnacentral:lncRNA from 1 species